rnacentral:rRNA from 1 species
CGUUGGUGAACCAGCGGAAGGAUCAUUA